AAGUCGUAACAAGGUUUCCGUAGGUGAACCUGCGGAAGGAUCAUUAUUGAAUAAACUUGGUUGGGUUGCUGCUGGCUCUCCGGAGCAUGUGCACACUCACUCCAUUUUUAACCACCUGUGCACAUACUGUAGGCCUGAAUGAACUUUGUCGAGGAAACUCGGUUUGAGAACUGCUCAGCUGUUCUUGUAUUUCAGGUCUAUGUUUUUAAACAUAUACUCCAUAACAAGUUAUAGAAUGUUAAUUAUGGGCCUUCUGUGCCUUUAAAACCUAAUACAACUUUCAACAACGGAUCUCUUGGC
rnacentral:misc_RNA from 1 species